rnacentral:rRNA from 1 species
CCUACGGGAGGCAGCAGUGGGGAAUUUUGGACAAUGGGCGAAAGCCUGAUCCAGCCAUGCCGCGUGCAGGAUGAAGGCCUUCGGGUUGUAAACUGCUUUUGUACGGAACGAAAAGACUCUGGUUAAUACCUGGGGUCCAUGACGGUACCGUAAGAAUAAGCACCGGCUAACUACGUGCCAGCAGCCGCGGUAAUACGUAGGGUGCAAGCGUUAAUCGGAAUUACUGGGCGUAAAGCGUGCGCAGGCGGUUAUAUAAGACAGAUGUGAAAUCCCCGGGCUCAACCUGGGAACUGCAUUUGUGACUGUAUAGCUAGAGUACGGCAGAGGGGGAUGGAAUUCCGCGUGUAGCAGUGAAAUGCGUAGAUAUGCGGAGGAACACCGAUGGCGAAGGCAAUCCCCUGGGCCUGUACUGACGCUCAUGCACGAAAGCGUGGGGAGCAAACAGGAUUAGAUACCCUGG